UAGCCCAGCCGCACCCCUCAUCCCCUUCUUCUAUCUAUCUCCUGCGGCGGCUGGAAAUAGAUCUCUCCACUUUCCGUGCGGCGCCAGCUGCUCCGUCUCUCUCCUGCUGCGUUGCGUGCGCAGGUAGGAAAGGAAUCUGGUCAUGGAGUUGGAGAUUUGCAUCAGAGAGGCGCAAGGGGAGGUCUCUCUCUGCUCCCCCCUCUCUAUGAAAAGAGAGAGUACGGAGACCCAAUCUUACGUCGCCUGCCUGCGUCAUCCGGGACUGCUGGUUGAUGCGAUGCAUCCCAUCCCAUCCCCACCCCAGGAGCGAUGCAUCCGUACGCGGUCACGGAUCUGCACGCCCUACGCCCUCCCUAGCCUGUUACCAACGGAGGCAGGAUAUUACUGGAUGUGUCAGAUGCUUGUUAAAGUAUUACAUUCAUGGUGCAACAAGUGAGAUCUGGUGAACAUUCAUGUGGCACUUGCAAAGCUCCAUUGGGACGAACUUCCUUACCAACCAGAUGAGUAUUCGGUGAGUAAGAGCAUCUACAACCACACACACCAAUUUGAGCCCUCCACAUGUCGGCGGAUGUGUCCGGGUGCCAGUCAUACCGAGCAUUUGGGCUGGGUUUGCCGGGUCCGGUUGGGUGCCAUUUUCCUGUUCUGGCAGUGACCGGGCAGGCCGCCCGCAGUGGCGGUGCCAGCUAAAAUAAUCUGUGGGGUCAACGGUAUUUUUUGUGAAUUUUUUCUUCACGAUGAACAGUGAUUACACAUAGCUUCGCCACUGGCCGCCCGGACGUUUAGGGUGGUACUGGGGCUCCAUUUGUAGAUGCUCUAAUGACAACCGGCUAAAAUAUAAUAUGAAAACUUUGUCAAAACUAUAUUUGCACGGCUCCUGAAUUUUUGUCAAGUUGAUGUCAUUAUUUGCAUGUUUUUUUCCAAAAAAAACUAGCACUUAUAUAUACGAUUUGUUUAGAGUUUUUAACUUGAACCAAUUUUUCUUGGAUAUGCUGAAGGAAAUGGGGAGCUAGUGGGCGCCGAGAACACUUGAUGAAAUCCUCUUAAGUAGUACCACAUUGUUUAAUAGAAAUUAGUAGGGGUCUUUAUUUGGCAACUGCUUAGACUUAAUUCUUGUCAUUUGGUCCUCCAUUUUUUUCUUAGUUCCGUUCAUGUGCUCCUAUGCGUUACUAGUUCAUACUUGGCUUUGCUACUUUGUGAUGAAGUAUAUUUACAAAUUUCACUUGAGCAAUGACGCAGAUUUCAUAUCUUUGAUACUAUCUUCAAGGGGGAAGUGCACGUGGAAGUUGAACAAAGGUGUCCUUACAGUUACUCUUUUGCUUUGCUUGAAUUCGAUGGAGUCAUGCAACUUUUACAUGCUUAUGAUUGAAAUGUCGUUUAUUCCAUCAUGAUUGUGGAAUUUUAGUCUAUAAGAAGUUACAAUGAUGCGUCGGUCCUUACUACUCAGAAGAUGAUACGUAAACACCGUCAAUUGGUCAGUGAUAAUGGGAUUUCAAAACUAAACAGGGGAUGAAUUCAGAUAAUAUGUGAUUGAUAUUAUGUGAUUUAUACUUAUUAGAUUCUUGUGCGACAAAGUCAUUUGAAUAAUAAGCUUAACUUCAUGCCGACUAUGUUCAUGUUGUAAUUUUCGGACUUAGCCAUUUUUACGACUCACUCCCUGGUUUGGCCCACGAUAACAUUCCAUGGGCUACCUAUAGCCAAGAAAACCAAACCCAACAACAACGAUUGGGGCCGGCCCAAUUCCACCCCAACGGCCUGAUUUAGUCCAGUAAAGCCGAGCGCACCACCAUAUCGAGCUUCUUCCUCCCCGAAACCCUAGUCAGAUUUUGUAAGGCGACGGCGGGGUGAGGGUUUCUGGCCAAAGUUGGGAACGCGGCGGCAGCAGAGAGCUUCCUUCCAGAUUGGGAGGAGGCCGCAUGAGAGGGGCCAUGAAGCCAUCCAGAGCUUGGAUGGGUGGUGUGAGAAGAAGGGCGCAUCUCGCCUGGUUAGGGAGCCAGCAGGGGAGGCUCCACAGGGAGCAGGUUGAUGGUGGUACCAUCCCCCCAGAGCCCAACCUUACCCAAGGUCCAGCUCGAAACUUGGCUCUUCUUCGAGGUUUAUCUUCAGCACCAGUCACACAAAAUGCUAUUGACACAUUGGCGUUGGCAAGUCCUGCAACAAGUUGUGGUAUACCAACGGUUGUGUCAACUGAAGGUAAAUCACCAAGCAGUUUACCGGUGCUGAGAAGUCCAUCCUUGGGCACUACAUUUGUUGCACCAGUCUGGCCCACUGUGGUCCGUAGCUUACCAAGUCGGUGUAAAAGCACUGCACUCACUUUGUUGAAGAAUGCUGGUUCCUCUGCUACACUGGGGUCACAGAUGAAACACCACCGAUUUUGUACCUUGGCUGGAGACCAGUCAGUCACAAAUUCAGGUGAACGAUAUAUUGGUGAGGACAGCCAUUUUCAGCGUGGUAAUAGUACAGCUUUGAGGGAGAGAGUAUUAGCCGAUACCAGUCAAACAGCUACUAAAGCGCUCAGUUUUAAGGCCAGAUACAAGAACUUUAUCAGACCAUUACUGGUUAACCGAUGUUUGAUUGCCCCGUGUGGAAUAAACGAUCCGUGGAUGAUAUUUCUGCAACGUCAAACCUUCAGCAUCCUUGGUCACAAUCCUUGCUAUUUGAGUAGCUUUGACAUCACAUCCUAUGAAGAUACUUGUAAGGAUGGCGAAUUUGAGACUUUUCUGGACCUUCUUGUUAGCAGGAAGGGUUACAUUUUGAAGAUUGGGACUCUUCCUUUUCCACUAUUGAACCAUUAAUGUAUGACCACGGACUGAAGCAGCCGUAUGACGGGACCAACGAACCAUUCUACAAAGGGGAAUGUGAUGCUUCGUACGAUAAUAAGACGGGAAUUGCAAGCUUGUCUUACAUCAUUUGGAAGGACGAUAAGAUCAUUUACUCAGAAGUUUUCUCAGACCUCAAGUGCUCUUCAUCAAAUGAAGCUGAAAUUCAUGCUGCGUUAGCGCUUCUUUACAAGGCUGAAGAACUCAAGAUCAGCAAACUCCAUCUAUGGACUGAUUCCAGAACAGCGGCUAGUGUCUUAACUGGCGAGUUGUCAAUCCCUUGGGACCAUGCCCACCGUGACUUUUUUCUGACCUUAAGGGGCAUGAGGAAGCGGUUCAGUCGGUUGGUGGUCACCUGGAGGCCCAGGGAGAUGCUGUUUUUCCCAGACGAGCUUGCAGAGAUUGCGAAGUCCCCUGGCUGUGAUUUACGUGCUUCCCAUACUACUGCUCUGGAGAAAUGGUCCGGCCACCUACGGGGCCUCCCUGUCCACCACAUUGAAUGGACAAACAAAACGGCCACAGCAGUUCGAAAAUUCAAGAACAAGAUAUUGGAUGAAGAAUUGUAUGGCAUGAGCGGUCCUGAUGUCUAUUUUGUUGAAGUUGAAGAGUGCCGUAAGUUGGACUGCUUGGUGGUGCUUAAAUAGACACUGCAUGCAAGUAAACUGAAAGUGUCCCUCAACAAUUAUAUGGAGAAGUCUGAAUGUUUCAAGGAACAAUUGGGAACUCUCGUUCACGAAAGUUAACAGGUACAUUUUUCUCCAGAGCUUCACAGCACCUUCACCAGCAAAUCUUGCAUAGGGUCAGUGCAUGGCACUUUCACCACUGGAUCUGUCAACCACUCUCCCCCGUCUAGAGAGCUGGUGGUGGUGUUGGAUUAUUCUGUACCUAAAGAAGUGUAUCACAAGAGAGGUGCAUUCCAUGUGGUGCUUGUGACGCCCAGUGAACGGGAGAAGAUGACUGAGUAUAUCCCGGAGUUGUCUGCAUUGAGCUUUGUCUAUUUCAAUGGAGUUAGAUUCCCAUUGAACAAGAAGCCAGAUCAAGGGCAGAAGAAUAAAGGCCCGAAGGAAUAGAACUGAGAAAAGCUGGUCUCGAGAAUGGUCAUCAUGUCGACAACCCUAAGUGAAGGCUCGGGACUCAUCAGGAGAAAGCUUUUUUUGGAAGGAUAUCAUGCCUUGAAGCAAACGGCUGCUUGAUAUGCUAAGUUCCUAGGCAGCAGGGUGUUUUUUUGUAGUAGGUCUGAACAACAGAUGAUGUUGUGCGCUGAUGGUAGUAUAUCUGCUCCGAGUACUGGAACUCGUCGCUUGCUUCAGUAAUAGACCAGUAUGUUUCCGAAUCAGCUGUGUAAUACUCCCUCUGUAAACUAAUAUAUAAAGAGUGUUUAGAUAACUAAAGUAGUUAUCUAAAUGCUCUUAUAUUAGUUUACGGAGGGAGUACUAUAAAUUUCAUCAAGACAUCCUAAUACUGUGCAAUGUGAAUCAGCUUGUGAUUUAUGCUCUCUAUUAUUCCAUUUC